GCAGUAGGUCCCUCUUGCCAUAUGUGGCGGAUCCCACGUUGGUCGGCGCGUAGACGGUGCCGAUGGUGUUGCUGGACCGAACCAGGAAGUCUGCUAGCCUCUGGGUCACGCAGGUGGCUGUGUUGCACUUCCUUUUCUGCCCGUUACCUGUUUGUAGGAGGGAGCCCCCUCUGCGGCCGUGCAGCCACGAGGCCCAGGAACGGGUUGGAGGACAGCUCAGCCAACCAGUCCUCGCUCCCGGGGAGGGCGCUUUCCUGCUCGCUGGAUGAGCGGGGACUGAAGUACCUGAAUCACAGAGGAAGAAGCUGCGUCUGUUGCUGGUAACUAUACAAAAGCCCUGGAAAGCCCCACGGUCCUGUUUGCGACACGUCUCCUACCUGUGGCUUGGCGCGGCGGUGACACAGCGCAGCAGCGCAAGCAGCGUGACGAGCAGCACGGGGA